GGAACAGCAGGGAACUUCCACAGUUGCUUAGAAGGAUAUAGAACCCGAGGAACUCCUGAUAAAAAGCCUGACUCUUCCAGCACAUUGAAUUCUGCUGCCUGCACUCAUGGAAAUGCCUCUCAAAUUCCAGUAACGAAGUUGCGAACAACCU